rnacentral:rRNA from 1 species
UACGUAGGGGGCGAGCGUUGUCCGGAAUCAUUGGGCGUAAAGAGCGUGUAGGCGGCUUGGCAAGUCUGACGUGAAAGCCCGCGGCUCAACCGCGGAUUGUCGUUGGAAACUGCCUCGCUAGAGUCCGGAAGAGGAGAGCGGAAUUCCUGGUGUAGCGGUGGAAUGCGCAGAUAUCAGGAAGAACACCCGUGGCGAAGGCGGCUCUCUGGGAUGGUACUGACGCUGAGGAGCGAAAGCGUGGGGAGCGAACGGG